UCGCGACCCCAGGUCAGGCGG
rnacentral:rRNA from 4 species